rnacentral:rRNA from 1 species
UACAGAGGUCUCAAGCGUUGUUCGGAUUCAUUGGGCGUAAAGGGUGCGUAGGCGGCGCGGUAAGUCGGAUGUGAAAUCUCGGAGCUUAACUUCGAAACUGCAUUCGAUACUGCCGUGCUUGAGGACUGGAGAGGAGACUGGAAUUUACGGUGUAGCGGUGAAAUGCGUAGAUAUCGUAAGGAAGACCAGUGGCGAAGGCGGGUCUCUGGACCAGCACCGACGUUCAGGCACGAAAGCGUGGGGAGCAAACAGG